UACGGAGGGUGCGAGCGUUGUCCGGAAUCACUGGGCGUAAAGGGCGCGUAGGUGGCUUCUCAAGCGCGCGGUGAAAGCCCGGGGCUCAACCCCGGGUCGGCCGUGCGGACUGGGAGGCUCGAGCACUGUAGGGGCGGGUGGAAUUCCGGGUGUAGCGGUGGAAUGCGUAGAGAUCCGGAGGAACACCGGUGGCGAAGGCGGGUCUCUGGGCAAUUCCUGACGCUGAGGCGCGAAAGCGUGGGGAGCAAACGGG
rnacentral:rRNA from 1 species